rnacentral:rRNA from 1 species
UACGAAGGGGACUAGCGUUGUUCGGAAUUACUGGGCGUAAAGCGCACGUAGGCGGAUUUGUUAGUCAGGGGUGAAAUCCCGGGGCUCAACCUCGGAACUGCCUUUGAUACUGCAAAUCUCGAGUCCGAUAGAGGUGGUGGAAUUCCUAGUGUAGAGGUGAAAUUCGUAGAUAUUAGGAAGAACACCGGUGGCGAAGGCGGCCCACUGGAUCGGUACUGACGCUGAGGUGCGAAGCGUGGGAGCAAACAGG